ACAUACCAAAAAAUAGCAACCGUACAAGCAAAUGGCAUUUGGUAUUGUAAGGGCAUUAGCCAAAAGUUCACAGUUUGAAAGAAGGGCCAGACCAUAUAAUUAGCCUUUAAAUGUUAGCAACAAUACAACAGAACCAUUUAAGAAAGAAAAUUUAGAAAUUAAGUGUACCUUUAAAGUGGGCCAGAAAACAGCUUGAAGUUUAUCGUAGGCGCCCCUGAAACCUUUGCCCUCAGCAAGAGUCUGCGGUUUAGUGUUAGUAUUGAUAUACAUAAACAUGCAAGUUAAUUUUUACUUACCAUCCAACUGAAAAAAAAGGCAGUACCGAAUGGAGCAAAAACAGCUUGAUCCAAUAACACACGCUUCACGACAUUAAUAGCGCCUUUCUCUAUUGGGAACUUAGCAGAUAGCAAACGCAACCACCGAAAUUGAAAUGGAGAAAUAGCAAAACCAAAAGUAACAAAUUGAAGAACCCUUUUAAUACUAGGUAUUUCAGGAUGAGUGUUUAAUCUCACGCCAUCCAAACCAAUCAUCGCAUUUUUGUUUGUUUGGUAUAUGGUCAAGCCUUGGGCGACAGCAUCGGAUAUUCCACCCAGUGUACCAGCAGUUAGACACAUAGUCAUAAUCGGCGCCUUUUCAAAAAGAGCGUUAUAGCGGGUUGCAAAACGACUAAACAUAAUGGAUAAUGAGGGACAAAAAACUCAAUCAAAAGCAAUUCAAAAUCUAACGACCCAAUG